rnacentral:rRNA from 1 species
GACGAACGCUGGCGGCGUGCUUAACACAUGCAAGUCGAACGGAAAGGCCCUGCUCUUGUGGGGUGCUCGAGUGGCGAACGGGUGAGUAACACGUGAGUAACCUGCCCUUGACUUUGGGAUAACUUCAGGAAACUGGGGCUAAUACCGGAUAGGAGCUCCUGCUGCAUGGUGGGGGUUGGAAAGUUUCGGCGGUUGGGGAUGGACUCGCGGCUUAUCCGCUUGUUGGUGGGGUAGUGGCUUACAAAGGCUUUGACGGGUAGCCGGCCUGAGAGGGUGACCGGCCACAAUGGGACUGCGAUACGGCCCAGACUCCUACGGGAGGCAGCAGGGGGGAAUAUUGCACAAUGGGCGGAAGCCUGAGGCAGCAACGCCGCGUGCGGAAUGACGGCCUUCGGGUGGUAAACCGCUUUCGCCUGUGACGAAGCGUGAGUGACGGUAAUGGGUAAAGAAGCACCGGCUAACUACGUG